CACCUCCUCCCUCCUGCAGGAAUGUGUCGAGGCGAUGCCCAUUAACUCUCCUGCUCGACGGGAACAACAACAACGUGCAUGACCUCAUUCCAACACCAGCACACGUUACUGACUCUGCACAGUGAAACCUGGACACUGAUCAGAUCUGAGAUCAGACUAAUGAUCAGUUAAGGGAAAUCACAGCAGAGCAACAACCACCAGGCGAGAAAAUGAAAGAAAGAUGAGCAGACGUUAUUAUCUUGUUUACACAUUUUAUUAUUCACACAGAUUAUCUUGUGAAACUUUUUCUUGUUUGUAUACGUUAUUAUCUUGUUCAUUCAUGUAAAUGCACAUGUAAAUAUGUUGUUUGCACAUGUUGAUAUUCAUACAUGAUCAUCAGAUCUCAUCUUCCCGGGAACAUGAAGCAGCAAAUGACACGGACUUCUGUUGUUUGGAUGUCUCACUCUGGAACAAAGUGUUGGGCUGACAAAAGAACCGACAUCAGCGUCCUCUGGGCUGCUAACAGGGCAGAAACACAGAUGGCAAAACGAUGAUCUACUGAACUGCACAUUAAAUGCAGAACAUGCAGAACAGCAGCAGAGCGUGCUGAGAUGAAGAAAUGAGUGGAAAAACAGAGCAUAUGACAGAAAGCAUGAAGGCUGACAAAGUGACAAAAGUUCUGAAGGUAAGAGUUCAUACUGACAGACUGAUUCCAGUAAGAAGAGAGAGUAGGUCAACAACAUGACUCAGCAAACACUCACUGCUGGCCUGCUGCCAGCCUGCUGCUGAGAGCAAAAGCCAGGCUCGCUGUGAGAAACAGUGAUCCAAAGUACACAGGACAGAAAUAUAUACUACAACACACACAACAACCAGCAGUUAGUACCCUUCAAACACCAGUGUUUGCUCAUCAGAUCAAUAUUUAAAAUUUUGAACAAAAUAACCUUUAAAAAAUGUUCAAAAGUAAUGACAAUACCAUGUUCAUCAUUCCUGCAACCUGGACCAAAAGUUUAGAUUACUGUAUUUUCUUUAAUACUGCAAAUGUUUGCACUUCAAUUUAUGGAUCUAUUAGCAGUUGUCAGAGUCGUAGUAGUGGCAGUAGCAGAAACUAUGCAAUGACAGCUACUGAGAUUGGAAACAAUAUGUGUAAAGUAUUCCAUGUUCUGAUGUUCUGCAUUUCAACAUGAUUUAUAUCAAAAUGAACUUUAGGGUCCAAAUUUAAACUGAAACUCGUCAAACUGUCCUUGAAGAGUAAAUCUCAUUAGUCAAACUGUGGAGGAAGUGAAGCAGAUAUUUUAGGAGAAUGAUGGUUGAUGCUGAGCUGAGACACGUGAGUCAGGACAGACAGGAGGGGUCUGUCUGUCUGUCUGUGACUCCUGUUGCUGUCUGGUUUUCUUCAUUACCCCCUCAGCUGAUGAAGCAGCUGAUGUGUGGUGUCACAGCUCCCCCUGGUGAUCAGCAGCUGCUUCAUUACCUGAUAACUGAGUAAAGUAAAGCAGCAUCCUACCAGACAAUCAGACUAUGGAGAUUUUACUGGGCGUUCAGCUCAGUGUUUGUUCAGGUACAGGUGAGACCAUGAGAUCUGAUCCAGGAGGUCCAGCUGGAGCAACAGAUCCACAAUUCUUGUGGGUUAUUAGACACUUAAACACUGCUCAGGGGUUUAUAAUAUAAUAAGGAAGGAUCUCACUGAUGCAGGAGGGAACUGUUGAGAGAAGACAACGUGAAGUCUGUCGCUGUGUUCACGCUAGCACCCCUGUUUUUGAUCACAUUCAGCAUAUGAUGUUUACACUGACCAUGAAAAACCUGGUUCAUCAUUCUCAGGUUCCUGACCAUCUGUUGCAGGCACCUCUUGAUUUCUCCCCAUCUUGGUCAUGAUGUCCAGUACAAACAAAGAAUGAUCAGAAACCUGGAUCAGGUGUUUACGGCCUGGUUUCUAUCAGACCACAUUCAGCUCUGCCGUUCUCCAGCUGUCCACCUGAUGGCCCCCAGACUCUCCCACCUGUCCCAGUCACCUGACUCCCACCGUUACUUGGUGACUUUGCUUUCCAGCCUCUUGAACAGGAACCUGGAUCUGUACCUGCCUGCACCUUUUCCCUGCACCGUCCCCGUUACCCUGGGUAUUCUCUGUUUGACCUGUUUUUGCAUUAUACCAUUAAAUCACUGAGCUGAUCCUGUCUGCUGGGUUUUCUGCUUUUGGGUCCUCGUACGCACGGUGUGGCGGCCUUACAGGGAAACCAGGAUAAGGACCUUAAAGACAAACCACAGGAUGAUCCUGGCUGAGAAGCUCUGACUCCUCUGGGCGUCUGAUCUUCCUGGACACCUCCCUUUGGGGUUUUCCGGGCACAUCCACCUAGUAGACCCCGGGAGGUAGAGUGAGUUGCCUGUUAAUCGCUUUGAGUGGUCGGAAGACUAGAAAGGCGCUGUGCAGACCGUAUAUCUCAUCUGGUUUGGGGACAUCUCUGGAUUCCCCAGGAAGGAGUUGAAGACUGCGGAGAGGCCUCUCUGGACCACCUUGUUAGCCUGCUGCCACUGUGACCUGGCCCGAGUAACAGGCAGAAAAUGGAUGGAUGGCAGAUACUUGAAUUAACUUGGGAUCCUUUAGACCUCCUUUUUGUCACCUUCUGUCACCUGUGUGAGUCUGUUCAGAUUGAAGUCCGAGAAACUGGACCCAAACCGUCCAACAGAGUUACAGGUCUGCAGAAUCAGAGCACGACUCAGCACCUGAAGGCUGCUGGGAGGAAAACGCUGAGUCAUGAUCCUGCAGGAACAGUUACUCCACACACACACACGUUUCCCGGAAACAGCGAGCGGUGGGGAAGGAGGAGGUGAUGCUCGUCUCCUCACUGCUCUUCCCGGCAGUCAGACCCCUCACGAGAUGCAGCUCACCACCACCACGGAGCGAGCUGAUUGGCUGCCACCGAGCCUCAGCUUCUGGCUAAUCAGUGAGCAGCUCUCACAUCGACCAAUCAGCCGCAGAGCAGAGAUGAACAGAUAAGGGAAAGAUAGAGAUGUACAGUAGAGAGCAAGUUCCCGUCAUCAAUGUCAGAGAGGACAGAGUGUGUCCUGCAGGGGUGUGUGUGUGUGUGUGUGUGUGUGUGUGUGUGUGUGUCGUGUUACAGAUCAAUAUUAGUGAUCUGUUUGUGUUUGAUCUGCUGUCCUGAGUGAUGAGCUCAUCCUGAACACACAGCGUGGGCUCUGUUGUUUAUGUAGUCAAUUUUGUCUUGUUAUUGGUAAAUAAAAAACUUUUGCAUCAUAA